CAAAAACAGUCAAGUCCUGGCAGUGAUAUUCAUGAAGAACCUAAAAAACUCAAGUCCUGGCAAUGACAAAAACAAAAAGAGAAAAUAAGACAAACUAUAAAAAAACAUAUAUGGAAAAUAUUAAACUUGAAACUGAAAAGAAAGAGAUGAAUAAAGAUGAUAAAGGGAUGAAAAUGAAGAAUAAAGAGAUGAUCAAAGAAAAUAAGAGAUGAAGAUAUGAAAAUAAAGACUGAAAAAUUAUUAUACAAAAAUUCUAACUAUUAUUAUAUUGCAAUAGACUUAAAACAUAUUCCAACGCUAAACUCAGAACAAUGAAAAUAAUACAAUCAUACAUUGAGCCUCCGAAUACAAUAAACUAUAAGCAGAAAAAAACCCUUCCAAUCAUUAUAAUUCUAACAGUAAUUUUUGGGGAAUAAUCUUAUGCUAGUCUAAAUAUAUAUUACAAUGCUAAAUUAAUCAAGAUCAUAUGAAAGCUUGCAAACGGUAACAAUAGGAAAAUAAUGAAGGAAAGUGAUUAUCAGUUAAAUUGGGGGAGGAAAAACUUAUAUUUGAAAGAAAAAAGUAGGAAAAUCGAAAAAAUGUAGGAAAAUAGUAUAAGAAAAUGAGAGAAAAGAAUUAUAUAAGUUGAAAUUGGGAAAAAAAUAUUGAAGGAGGAGGAGCUUAUGUUACAAAAAAUAGAGGAAAAUAUAAAGAAAUGGGAGAAAAGAAUUAUAUGUUACAAUGGGGAAAAUACAUUGAAUGAGAAAACUUAUAUUAGAAAAAAGUAAAGAAUUAAUGUAUAAUAAAUGAGAGAAGUGAAUCAAAUCACUAACAAUGGGUAAAAAUAUCUAAUGAGGAAAGUUAUAUUAAAAAGAGAAAUUAUAUAAAAGAAGUGUUUGUAGGAGCAUAGUAGAGAAAAGAGAUUAGGUUAUUAAAAGCUGAGAAAUAGAAAAAAUGGAAGAGACAAAAAGAAGUGUAUGAGUGAUUGAAUGAUAGAUAGAUAAGGUUUGUAAUUAAAGAGAAAGAAAGUAUUAAUAAAAGCAAGUAUAGAAAUAAUAAAUGUUCAGAACUAAAGAAAAAAGAAAAUAAGAAAAAGAAAUAAAUAAAAAGAAAUUAGAAAAGAAAGAAAUAAAAAGAAAUUAGAAAAGAAA